rnacentral:rRNA from 1 species
AGAGUUUGAUCCUGGCUCAGAAUCAACGCUGGCGGCGUGCCUCAGACAUGCAAGUCGAACGCGAAAGUCCCCUUCGGGGGGCAAGUAGAGUGGCGCACGGGUGAGUAACACGUAGGUAAUCUACCUUUGGAUUGGGAAUAACAACCGGAAACGGUUGCUAAUACCGAAUAAUGCAGCGGCACCUAAUGGUGACAGUUGUUAAAGCGGGGGAUCGCAAGACCUCGCGUCUGAAGAGGAGCCUGCGGCGGAUUAGCUAGUUGGUAGGGUAACGGCUUACCAAGGCGAUGAUCCGUAGCCGGCCUGAGAGGGCGGUCGGCCACACUGACACUGACAUACGGGUCAGACUCCUACGGGAGGCAGCAGUCGGGAAUUUUGGGCAAUGGGCGAAAGCCUGACCCAGCAACGCCGCGUGAAGGAUGAAAUCCCUCGGGAUGUAAACUUCGCAAGAACGGGAAGAAUAAGUAAGAGUUAAUAUCUCUUACGAUGACGGUACUGUUUGUAAGCUCCGGCUAACUCCGUGCCAGCCGCCGCGGUAAUAC